GUUGCCACCUCAGCAAAAUCACUAAACUCACACUACACUCAUGCGCAUGGGAUAGCAAUGCUUGAGAGACUGAUUUCUCUUUGGACGAACUUGUGCCUCCAGACAACUUCCAGUUCCAGAACCAACGCCGAACAGACCUCCACCACCAACAUCCACCGCCACCAGUUCACCACCACCAGUCCGCCGAGUAUCCGUCGUCCUCCUUGGCCGAUUUCUCCCAAUUUCAGCCCACGAGUUAACUCGCCCACUGCGCAAACGUAGUUCCACGGCCACUGGUCCGUUGCCCACCACAGUUCAACAAUAAAUAAUUGCGGUUAUGUAGUGACUAGUCCAAGAAAACUCACAUAAAAAGCUUAUCACUUUUAUCUUCUACUUCCACAAAUCUCUCCGUAACUAGUGAAUAUAGGAGGAAGAAUCUGAGUCGGGAAGAGCACGAUCUCACUCUCUAGUUUUAGUCGUUUGAGAAAUUUACAACUGUAAAAGAACGAGUUUUGGAGAAGGAAUUUAAAAAAUAGUGCUCAAGGACCAGACUGAGAGUACUACUUGGGAGGGUCAGAGUUCAUAUUUUCUAUAGUAUAAUUAAGGUAAUUAAGGAUAUUCUUUCUUUUAACUUCUGGAUAUACCUAAAGAUUGGAAAAUAUGUUAUUAGUAGUGGAGAAUCAAAGAUGAUUGCUGCUUUAGUUCCGAAUUCAUAAUUCUUGUCUGUGAAUUCGUGGGUUUUGAAUAAUUGUAGAUUUUUUGUUAGUAUAUUUUAGUUUUGGGUGUAAUUGAUUGUUCCCUUGGAUUAGGUGAUUGAUUCAAUUUGGGUUUUCGAGUGCUUUUUGAGGAAUCUAGUUUGGAUACUAUGAAAAUUGAGCAGUAUGUAAUUGGUUUCCUGGUUUUUGUUGCCUUCCUUCCCAAAAAGUUUCCUAAAACAUAUCUAAUUGAUGUGCUAGGCUCACUUGCGGAUUUUUUUUUUUUUCUCGCCAAAGGGCUACAGAUAUAUGAUUUAUGAAAAGGGCCAUGAAAACAUUGAAAAUGAGUUUUGAAUUUUACUUGUCAAAAAAUAAAAGAGAUAGGAUUUAUUAAAUUAUUUUCUUAACUUGUCUGUGUAAAUCAAAAGGGUUUUAUCUGAGGAAUAACUCCAAAAAGAUGGGGAAAACUGAGUAUUGGUGCUAGAGAUAAUUGGGAAGCUUUAAGAAAUUUUCUGAUUUAAGGUGCCACAUUUACUUUGAAUUUGGAUACAGACCAGUUGACUAUGUACCUUAUUGCGAGCUGCAACGGGGAAGUGGCUGCGGGCUGCAAUGGGCAAAGGGGCUGUGUCGCUAAUGGGGGAUGCAAAGGGGAGGGUCCGUCUCAGUGUGAUUUUGCAGGGGAAUGAUUUUCCAUGUGAUGCUGGUUCACACGAAUUGUUGUGGAGACUCUAGGUGUCAGUCAAUAAUUCGCUGGCUGUUAUUUGAGGAUCCUUGGACGGACUGGCCCGUAGGAUUUCUCUUACUUUAAUGGCAACUAAAGUCACUUCAGAAAUAGAUUUCAUAUUCUUUACUAUUAAGUGCAAGACCAUAUUAACUGCAAAGGGUCAUGAAGAAAGAAGAAAUAAGGCCUUAACUAUUAGUUCUUGGGGCUGCUUAACUCUGCUGUAUCGUGGUCUAAGGAGGGGCUUGGAAUGAGCCUUGAAUUUAGACAUCCUGAGUUUGGUUCUGCACUAAGAGUUUCCAUGGAUUAUCUAAUACAAAAUUCUGGUGGAUUUGGUUGCAUAUCUGGAGUUCACUUCCCAAUAGUGAGUCUGAUGGGCCUUGAGGUUCCACGCAUCAAGAAAACUCUGUUGUCUUUUGGUCUCAACAAAAAUAGUUGCUAUCAAUUUGUUAAACCAUUGUGAUUGAAAUUUUUAUGAUCUUCCAACCGUUUCCAUAUGAGAUGUCAAGAUUGUUAGUAGGGCAAAUUCUAUAUACUAGUUUUGGACAGGUUUAUCCUUUGGUUGGUUUGGAAAUAUCAGGUACAUUUUGCAGCCACUAAAGAAGCACUAUCCGUAUAUUUCGCCAAAUGUGGGUCAGUUUUCAACAUGAUGAUUCUGAUGAAGCAACUUCAGGACGAAAAAUGUCUGCUUAUGUUACUUUUGUUAGCAAGGAGUCUGUUGAGAAAGCAUUGGAAUUGAGAGGAAGUCAGUUUUUUUCAAGGACUAUAAAGAUGCUGAGGAAGGCUGAAUCAACCGUUGCAACACCGGGACCAGCCCAACAGCACAAAAUUUUACAGAAAUAUUUUGAAUUUUAACUACCCUUUUCUUCUCGUUUCUCUAGAGUGCCAAAUUUUUCUACAUUAUAGACACAUCAACCAUUGGAACAAGUAAUAGUUUUCUAUAUGCAAAUUAUUAAUUUUCCCUAGAA